AUACGGAGGAUCCGAGCGUUAUCCGGAUUUAUUGGGUUUAAAGGGUGCGCAGGCGGCCAUUUAAGUCAGCGGUUAAAUCGUGGGGCUCAACCCCAUUCUGCCGUUGAUACUGGGUGGCUUGAUUGCGGUCGAGGUUGGCGGAAUUCGUUGUGCAGCGGUGAAAUGCAUAGAUAUGACGAAGAACACCGAUUGCGUAGGCAGCCGACCAGACCGCAAAUGACGCUCAUGCACGAAAGUGCGGGGAUCGAACAGGAUUAGAUACCCUGGUAGUCCGCACAGUAAACGAUGAAUACUUGUUUUCGGCGAUAUAAUGUCGGAGGCAAAGCGAAAGCGAUAAGUAUUCCACCUGGGGAGUACGCCGGCAACGGUGAAACUCAAAGGAAUUGGCGGGG
rnacentral:rRNA from 1 species